UUCAAGUGGCUGUUCCUGCACUGCCUGACUCAAAGAAGUGACUCUGAAAGAGCUGGUUCCAUGUGACCAAACCUGGCUGACUGCAUCUCCUCUCAGACCUGUAUUAUCAAAGGGAGCUUUGAUGUGGGAGGAGGGGCCACAUGGUGGGAUGAACUGCCCUGACUGGAGGAAAGUUUUCAGCUGGACACGACUGAUGUCUGGAUUUACCAAUCAAAAGCCUGCAUUCACACGAACUUUUUUAAAAUAUUAAAAUAAAUUCAAAGAAUGAGAAUAUUCUUUAGAGAAAAUACAGCAGAAAUUUGGGCUUCAGAAAAGAAAAGUAUGCAACUGAAUAAAUGUAGGAGCAGCUGCUGAGUUAGCAAACAGGUAUGACAGAAAAACACACAAAAAACUUGAUUAAUUUACAUAAAAUUUACUGAAAAGUUUAUUUUGGUUAUUUAAGUUUUAAUUAGAAUAAAGAAUAAAGUUGCAGUCCUGCAAACAUGUGUCUCUGAGCUCUUUAUUUUACAUAGAAAACUCCUCAUUACCAACCAUGAAAAGUCCUCUUCACUGAUAAUAAUUUGAUUUUAAAUCACCAAAAGGUUCAGAAUGUCUUGGUUUUUGACUCAGAUCUGGAAAUAAAACUUAAAAAAAAAUGCUUAAAAAAAAA